CCCCUUUCUUUCUUUUUUUGCAGUGUCUUCACAUGCAAUCUCUCUCUGAAUGUGCAAUGUCUUUCCUGCUCGGGAGUGCUGCGUCCUUCACAGUGGAUUGGUUCCUCUUUCGGAGCAGAGGAGAGCAUAAAAGACCUGGCAUGUCUUCAUUAUUGCACUGUGUCAGGUGCCUGUUGAGCAGAAGAUAAAAUACUCAAGCAAGAUGGCAACUGAGAAGUUCUGAAGAAGAACCUCUGAUAUUAUAAUUCAAGCACUGUUAUGGAUAACUGAAUGCUGUGCAGCUCGAUUCCUUUCUGGGGACUGCAUGGCUCAUAAUGAAACUUAAGGAGUAUAUCCUUAAUUUAUUGCCAUUUCAAAAAGUUUACGGACACAAAGUAUUGACAAGAACUUCUUUAGUUUUCAUCUUGUGUCAUUCUUGGAAGAAGUUACUAACUUGGUUUAUUCCUCUGAAAGUUAUAAAAACUACAAUACUCUGGUAUUAUGUGACCUCUCUUCUGGGACAUAACUGCUAGCAGACAGCUUCCAUGUUUGAACACAGAGGGAUGAAAGGUAGAUCUGAAUAAAGAGAAAAAGAU